rnacentral:rRNA from 1 species
UACGUAGGGUGCAAGCGUUGUCCGGAAUUAUUGGGCGUAAAGAGCUCGUAGGCGGCUUGUCGCGUCGGCUGUGAAAACUCGGGGCUCAACCCCGAGCCUGCAGUCGAUACGGGCAGGCUAGAGUCCGGCAGGGGAGACUGGAAUUCCAGGUGUAGCGGUGAAAUGCGUAGAUAUCUGGAGGAAUACCGGUGGCGAAGGCGGCAUCCUGGACCGACAUUGACGCUGAGGAGCGAAAGCUAGGGGAGCAAACGGG